rnacentral:rRNA from 1 species
GAUGAACGCUGGCGGCGUGCCUAACACAUGCAAGUCGAGCGAUUCUCUUCGGAGAAGAGUGGCGGACGGGUGAGUAACGCGUGGGUAACCUGCCCUGUACACACGGAUAACAUACCGAAAGGUAUGCUAAUACGAGAUAAUAUACUUUUAUCGCAUGGUAGAAGUAUCAAAGCUCCGGCGGUACAGGAUGGACCCGCGUCUGAUUAGCUAGUUGGUAAGGUAACGGCUUACCAAGGCGACGAUCAGUAGCCGACCUGAGAGGGUGAUCGGCCACAUUGGAACUGAGACACGGUCCAAACUCCUACGGGAGGCAGCAGUGGGGAAUAUUGCACAAUGGGCGAAAGCCUGAUGCAGCAACGCCGCGUGAGCGAUGAAGGCCUUCGGGUCGUAAAGCUCUGUCCUCAAGGAAGAUAAUGACGGUACUUGAGGAGGAAGCCCCGGCUAACUACGUG